GGGAUGUGGGAUGUACCUGUUUCAACAGCUUCCGCCUCCCCGACGGCUCACGCACCUCUGCAGAGACGGCUACAGAGGACAGAAGGACAAACGUGGGCCGGGUUUUGAAUUUUCUGAAAAAGUAAUCUCAAAAGCUGUUCAUGUGGGAAAGUUCUCAAAGUAUUGAAGAAAGCAAGCAAGCAGUUUUGAAGAAGAGAACGAUGAAUUCAUGGCAUCCUUCCUCCAGCAUGGAGAGCAUGGGAAAACUCGUGGGAUGAUGCGACAAUGGGGAAGAUCAGGAGGAAAAGACACGCUGGAGCGCACAGGCAGCAGGUCGAGGGAUGCACCACACGCUGUCAUCCUACAAAGCAUCCCUGUGCAGCAUCAUCCCAGCAUGGCC